rnacentral:rRNA from 1 species
GACAAACGCUGGCGGAAUGUAUUAGGCAUGCAAGUCGUACGAACCUUCGGGUUAGUGGCGAACGGGUGAGUAACACGUGGGUAACCUGCCUCGUAGUGGGGAAUAACUCGCCGAAAGGCGAGCUAAUACCGCAUAACACCCCUGGUGAGAUUCCAGGUGGUAAAAGCUCCGGCGCUACGAGAGGGGCCCGCGGCCGAUUAGCUAGUUGGUGGGGUAACAGCCUACCAAGGCGACGAUCGGUAGCUGGUCUGAGAGGAUGGUCAGCCACACGGGGACUGAGAUACGGCCCCGACUCCUACGGGAGGCAGCAGCUAAGAAUCUUGCGCAAUGGGCGAAAGCCUGACGCAGCAAUUCCGCGUGGGGGACGAAGGCCCUCGGGUCGUAAACCCCUUUUGUGAGGGAAGAAGUUCUGACGGUACCUCACGAAUAAGACACGGCUAACUACGUGCCAGCCGCCGCGGUAAU